rnacentral:ncRNA from 1 species
UCUUAUCAAGAGAGGUUGAGGGAAAGGCCCGAUGACACCUCAGCAACCUUCAAUGUUUAAAGUCAUUGAAAAGGUGCUAAGUCCUGCAAAUUUUUGAUAAUUUGCAAGAUAAGA